AGUAACGAGUGAGAACGUGUGUCCUGUCCACAAAAAAAUAUUUUAUUUAAUGAUUUCUUUGGAUUUUUGGAGAGAUGCCGCGGGAGCGUCAAUUUGCUCAAACUAUCGAUUCCAGCUCCAAUAAUGAGGAAUUUGCCGCCGAAAACGAGGAUGAAGAAAACGGCCUCUGCAUUUAUUGCAAUGAUCUUUAUUAGCGGUCUAAACCGGGAGUAAGCUGGUUAAGAUGCAUGAGUUGUUUUCGUUGGGCUCACGCUUCUUGUGCUGAUGUCUCAAAGAAGUCUAAAAGAUUUAUUUGCGAGCUUUGUUCCUGAAUUUUUGGUAUGUCAUUAUACCCAUAUUUAGUGUGUCAUUUUGUCCAUACUAUAUGGACAAAAUGGUUUUUUUGACUCGUCCAUUUAUUUCUUAAUAUUUAUUUUGAUAUAGUUCCUAUUCAAUUAAAAGACUGUAUUACUAGUAGUCAAUGAACCUAAGAUGAGUUUCAAUGUAUGAGACUGAUUAUAAUUACAAUAAAUAAAGAAAUAUGAUUCAAAAUCAAAA